GUUUGGGAUAGAUUUUAGGAAAUGUUACAAAGUGGGUUGAUCGUUGAGUACAUUUGCCAAUUGAAGUCAUCCUUCCUUCAGGGGGUUGAGCAGCUCCCAGUCCGGUCGCCUAAAAUAGAAUAAAUUAAAACCUUUUCAUAAACAAACCAUCAAUUGGAAUCCAACUUCCCUUCAAGUUCACCACCAUCCAUCCAGUUAGUAAAUUCAAUUACAAUUUUCGGCCAUUUUCUCUCCAACAAUAGUACAUUAACACCACAUUUAGUCUCAGUUAACUUCAUUUUUGCGAAAUACACCAACUUUUGACGAACUAAGUAAUUUUUCCCACGUUUAGUUGUUUUGCCGUAAACAUGACGGUAGGUUUGACGUUUGCUGUUGCUUGAUGCUCGAGAGAGUGAAUGAAUUCUGAGAGAGUUCAUGGGGUUAAGGGGCGAGUUCAUUCCACCUUAUUUCAUUUAGCCAUUUCAAAUUUGGCGUUAGAAAUUUGGUGGACAUGGCAUGGGGAUAUUUGAUGUUAUUCUCGAGUAGACAGACUUAAUCUGGCGUUGGAGAAUACAUCAGGGUUUUAAGGGUUUUGCGUCUUGUUCAUUCAGAAUUAGCAUACCAAGGUAUACCAUGGUGGAUUCUGAUUGAAACAGAUUGGGGUGAAUUAUGUGGGUGGACGAUUUUCCAACUUCUGUUUGGAGUAGUCCAAAACAUAAGGAACUUAAGGUUUGUUGUUGUAGUGAUUGAGUAAUCGAUCGGAAAUUUUGGGCUUGUGUUGAAAUGUAAAUAUUUCAGUCACAAUGCCAGAGGGAAUUUUCUUGGCGAUAUUAUUGAGGUUUCAGAGGAGCAAGUAAACAGCAAGCGAUCAAAAUUUGAGAGGAAAGUAUGAGCCUGUAGAAAAGUGGGCAGCUGUAAAUAAUGUUGUUGAAUUAAAUUGUUUGAUGUUAACAUAAUUUUGUUUUGGCAUGUUUUUGGGCCGUUGUAAAUAGUUGGUUAAAAUUUUUGUAUAUACAUUGCAUUAUGUUGUCCAAGUUCGUUUAGUGUAUAAAAGUUUUUUGUUGGGUAUACCCCUACGAAAAUUUGGUUGUUUUGCAACCAAAUUUUCGUAAAAUUAGUCCAGAGUUAUGUAGCGUUCUACAAUUAUUAUUUAUAAAUACACUAGUACAAAUGAAACGAACAUGGCUGAUUUUGAAUUCGAGCGAAAUGAAUCCAAACUUGCGUGCGAGCUUGCAUGCAAAGCAGCAAGCUCAAGAUGGAUUCCGUCGGAUUCUCUCUGCUCGUGACCGUCUGGAGAGAAAUCGCGGACUUCGUGACCUAGCCUCUCCCAUGGAAACUGCAACUCAUGCAGCUUCCCUUGUUCGAUGCAAGGUUAAGAUCAGGGGUAGGGCCUUAAGUGGUUAUGCCAUGAGCUGAGCGAGAAGGCAGAUAUAAUUGGGCGGUAGAGCAAGUAGUCACAUCACUAGCCGGUCCCGGGGUCAAGGGUAGGAAGACACGAGCGACAGACUUGCACUCGGCUUGCCGAUUACAAGUCCCCGUAACCGAACGUACAAACGCUCACCUUAGGUCUGAGGGCACACGGAAGGACUCGGUCAUUUCAACCGUGACAGUGAAAGUGACCGGAUAGGAGUUCUUGGUUUUGCUUCGCGUCUUUCAGUGUUCAAGUCCAAGAUAGGAACAAGUAGUGCCAGUGUGCGAACGUGUGCCGUGUGCGUUAAGAAGGAGAACCCCAGUCGUUCGGCGGCCCUCUUACUCCCCGAUAGAACUGGUGCGUCGGCACCCGCACUGCUGGUGUUCCAGCAUCCCCGUCCGUGCCCGCAGGAUCCACUUUCCAUCGUCCCGGUUGAA
rnacentral:lncRNA from 1 species